UACGUAGGGAGCAAGCGUUGUCCGGAUUUACUGGGUGUAAAGGGUGCGUAGGCGGCCCUGCAAGUCAGGCGUGAAAGGCGGAGGCUUAACCUCCGAGCUGCGUUUGAAACUGUGGGGCUUGAGUGGAGCAGAGGCAGGCGGAAUUCCCGGUGUAGCGGUGAAAUGCGUAGAGAUCGGGAGGAACACCAGUGGCGAAGGCGGCCUGCUGGGCUUUAACUGACGCUGAGGCACGAAAGCAUGGGUAGCAAACAGGAUUAGAUACCCUGGUAGUCCAUGCCGUAAACGAUGAUUACUAGGUGUGGGUGGUCUGACCCCAUCCGUGCCGGAGUUAACACAAUAAGUAAUCCACCUGGGGAGUACGGCCGCAAGGUUGAAACUCAAAGGAAUUGACGGGGGCCCGCACAAGCAGUGGAGUAUGUGGUUUAAUUCGAAGCAACGCGAAGAACCUUACCAGGUCUUGACAUCCAACUAACGAAGCAGAGAUGCAUUAGGUGCCCUUCGGGGAAAGUUGAGACAGGUGGUGCAUGGUU
rnacentral:rRNA from 1 species